rnacentral:rRNA from 1 species
GUCCAGACUCCUACGGGAGGCAGCAGUGGGGAAUAUUGCACAAUGGGGGAAACCCUGAUGCAGCGACGCCGCGUGAGUGAAGAAGUAUUUCGGUAUGUAAAGCUCUAUCAGCAGGGAAGAUAAUGACGGUACCUGAGUAAGAAGCCCCGGCUAACUACGUGCCAGCAGCCGCGGUAAUACGUAGGGGGCAAGCGUUAUCCGGAUUUACUGGGUGUAAAGGGAGCGUAGACGGCAUGGCAAGUCUGAAGUGAAAGCCCGGGGCUCAACCGCGGGACUGCUUUGGAAACUGUUAAGCUGGAGUGCAGGAGAGGUAAGUGGAAUUCCUAGUGUAGCGGUGAAAUGCGUAGAUAUUAGGAGGAACACCAGUGGCGAAGGCGGCUUACUGGACUGUAACUGACGUUGAGGCUCGAAAGCGUGGGGAGCAAACAGGAUUAGAUACCCUUGUACAC